rnacentral:rRNA from 1 species
ACGUACGCUGGCGGCACGCCUAACACACUGCAAGUCGAACGAAGUAGCAAUACUUAGUGGCAGACGGGUGAGUAACAUGUGGGUAUCUGCCCUUUGGCCUGGAAUAACACGAGGAAACUUGUGCUAAUACCGGAUAAGUCUUUACGGAGAAAGCUUUAUGCACCAUUGGAUGAGCCCGCACUUGAUUAGUUUGUUGGUGGGGUAAUGGCCUACCAAGACUGUGAUCAAUAGCUGAUUUGAGGGGAUGAUCAGCCACAUUGGGACUGAGACACGGCCCAAACUCCUACGGGAGGCAGCAGUGGGGAAUCUUGCACAAUGGAGGAAACUCUGAUGCAGCGAUGCCGCGUGAGUGAAGAAGGCCCUUGGGUUGUAAAGCUCUUUCGUCGGGGAAGAAAAUGACUGUACCCGAAUAAGAAGGUCCGGCUAACUUCGUGCCAGCAGCCGCGGUAAUACGAAGGGACCUAGCGUAGUUCGGAAUUACUGGGCUUAAAGAGUUCGUAGGUGGUUGAAAAAGUUAGUGGUGAAAUCCCAGAGCUUAACUCUGGAACUGCCAUUAAAACUUUUCAGCUAGAGUAUGUUAGAGGAAAGCAGAAUUUCUAGUGUAGAGGUGAAAUUCGUAGAUAUUAGAAAGAAUACCAAUUGCGAAGGCAGCUUUCUGGAUCAUUACUGACACUGAGGAACGAAAGCAUGGGUAGCGAAGAGGAUUAGAUACCCUCGUAGUCCAUGCCGUAAACGAUGUGUGUUAGACGUUGGAAAUUUAUUUUCCGUGUCGCAGCGAAAGCGAUAAACACACCGCCUGGGGAGUACGACCGCAAGGUUAAAACUCAAAUGAAUUGACGGGGACCCGCACAAGUAGUGGAGCAUGUGGUUUAAUUCGAAGAUACGCGCAGAACCUUACCAACACUUGACAUGUUCGUCGCGACUCUAAGAGAUUAGAGUUUUCGGUUCGGCCGGACGAAACACAGGUGCUGCAUGGCUGUCGUCAGCUCGUGUCGUGAGGUGUUCGGUUAAGUCCGUGAACGAGCGCAACCCUCAUCAUAUGUUGUACUUUCAUAUGAGACUGCCUCGCAUAACGAGGAGGAAGGUGAGGAUGACGUCAAAUCAGCAUGGCCCUUAUGCCUGGGGCUACACUCGUGAUACAAUGGUUGGUACAAACCGAAGCGAAGCAGCAAUGUGGAGCCAAUCGGAUCAAAACCAAUCUAAGUUCGGAUUGGAGUCUGCAACUCGACUCCAUGAAGUUGGAAUCGCUAGUAACCGUAUAUCAGUCACGGUACGGUGAAUAUGUUCCUGGGUCUUGUACUCACCGCC